CAAGUAGUGAGGAAGGACGGGGAUGGACGGUCAAAUCAGCACGGCCCUUACGUCCAGGGCCUACGACACGGUGCUACAAUGGCCGAUACAGAGGGCAAGGCUACCUGGUGACAGGAUGCAAAUCCUCCAAAAGUCGGUCUCAGUUCGGAUCGGAGUCUGCAACCCGACUCCGUGAAGUUGGAUUCGCUAGUAAUCGCGCAUACAGCCAUGGCGCGGUGAAUACGUUCCCGGGCCUU
rnacentral:rRNA from 1 species